CCCAGACUCCUACGGGAGGCAGCAGUGGGGAAUAUUGGACAAUGGGGGGAACCCUGAUGCAGCGACGCCGCGUGGGUGAAGGAGCGUUUCGGCGCGUAAAGCCCUAUCGGCAGGGAAGAAGGAGGACGGUACCUGACUAAGAAGCCCCGGCUAACUACGUGCCAGCAGCCGCGGUAAUACGUAGGGGGCAAGCGUUAUCCGGAUUUACUGGGUGUAAAGGGGGCGCAGACGGCAGCGCAAGCCAGGAGUGAAAGCCCGGGGCCCAACCCCGGGACUGCUCUUGGAACUGCGUGGCUGGAGUGCAGGAGGGGCAGGCGGAAUUCCUGGUGUAGCGGUGAAAUGCGUAGAUAUCAGGAGGAACACCGGUGGCGAAGGCGGCCUGCUGGACUGCAACUGACGUUGAGGCCCGAAAGCGUGGGGAGCAAACAGGAUUAGAUACCCCAGUAA
rnacentral:rRNA from 1 species